rnacentral:rRNA from 1 species
AAUAAGCUAAAUAAGAGCGUAUGGGGAAUGCCUAGGCUCUCAGAGGCGAUGAAGGACGUGAUAAGCUGCGAAAAGUUGCGGGGAUUGGCACAUACAAAUUGAUCCGCAAAUAUCCGAAUGGGGCAACCCACUAUAUUGAAGAUAUAGUAUUCUGAACUUGUUUCAGGAGGCAAACCC